GAACUCCUUUUUUCAUCUUCUCAAGAAGUUCAAGCGAAACUCCAUGGUUGAUCACCUGGAAGAAACCCCACUUCGCUGCUGCUUCUUUAAUCUCUUCAAUCGCGUUAUUGCGCUUAAUCGCGUCCUGGAAGUCCCGUCCUCCGAGAUCGAUCGUUGGGAUCGUCUUGAGAUGUAGCAGGUCCGAGGGAAGUGGUUUUGGGGUUGAUAAUUUGACAGUUGGAUGAUGAAAGAUGCGUGGAACUUGUGAAACUCCGGAGUCGACGAGUCCUUUCACACCCGUUUUCGUUUCAUCGAAAGCUUUAAGCUCACUGGCACGAUCGAAUAAAGGAUCAAUCUUCAUCAUCUCCAUCGUUUUUGUUUCUCAAAUCAAAAACAGAACAACAAUCACACAUAAAACAAGAAUGAAACGUUUUUCUUAAGUUCAAAGAUUGGACCAGUUGCUACAGCAAAACCAUUGUCCAUUGAUAAGAGAUAAGGUUUAUUGACAAAAACAACCACGUAUGACGGUAACCGGACCAGGCAAGUCUAAGUCAACAAGAA